UGAAUACGAGAUGCUACGGCGUCGAAGCAGUGUAUGUCAGACUUCCAAGAAAAGCUCGCAAUGUCAUAAAUAAAGAAUGCCUGUACCAUAACCGACACAGAUGGGUAGGUAGAGUAUACUAAGGGGCGCGAGAUAACUCUCUCUAAGGAACUCGGCAAAAUAACCCCGUAACUUCGGGAGAAGGAGUGCCUUCUUUAAGAAGGUUGCAAUAACAAGAUCCAAGCAACUGUUUAUCAAAAACACAGGUCUCCGCUAAGUCGUAAGACGAUGUAUGGGGGCUGACGCCUGCCCAGUGCCAGAAGGUUAAAGAAGCUGGUUAGCAAUAGCGAAGCUGGUGACUGAAGCCCUGGUGAACGGCGGCCGUAACCAUAACGGUCCUAAGGUAGCGAAAUUCCUUGUCGGGUAAGUUCCGACCCGCACGAAAGGCGUAAUGAUUUGGAUACUGUCUCGGAGAGGGACUCGGUGAAAUAGACUUGUCUGUGAAGAUGCGGACUACCUGCACCAGGACAGAAAGACCCUAUGAAGCUUUACUGUAACCUGAAAUUGAAAUUGGACUUUAUUUGCGCAGUAUAGGUGGGAGGCGUUGAAAGUAAUCUUGCGGGAUUAGUGGAGCCAUCAGUGAGAUACCACUCCUAUAAUGUUAGAUUUCUAACUUUGGAUCAUGAUCUGGUCAAAGAACAGUUUCAGGCGGGCAGUUUGACUGGGGCGGUCGCCUCCCAAAUGGUAACGGAGGCGUACAAAGGUUUCCUCUGAACGGGUAGUAAUCGUAUCUAGAGUGUAAAGGCAUAAGGAAGCUUGACUGUGGGACCUACAAGUCGAGCAGGGACGAAAGUCGGUCUUAGUGAUCUGACGGUGCUGAGUGGAAAGGCCGUCACUCAACGGAUAAAAGUUACUCUAGGGAUAACAGGCUGAUCUCCCCCAAGAGUUCACAUCGACGGGGAGGUUUGGCACCUCGAUGUCGGCUCAUCGCAUCCUGGGGCGGUAGUACGUCCCAAGGGUUGGGCUGUUCGCCCAUGAAAGCGGUACGCGAGCUGGGUUCAGAACGUCGUGAGACAGUUCGGUCCAUAUCCGGUGUAGGCGUUAGAAUAUUGAGAGGAGCCUUCUCUAGUACGAGAGGACCGAGAAGGACAUACCUCUGGUGUACCAGUUAUCGUGCCAACGGUAAACGCUGGGUAGCUAUGUAUGGAGAGGAUAACCGCUGAAAGCAUCUAAGUGGGAAGCCCACCUCAAGAUGAGUAUUCUCAU
rnacentral:rRNA from 1 species